AUUUCUUUCUGUACAAAACAAAAAUCUGCAUACUGAAGAAGUAAUCAAGAGAUUUAAUGAUGUACUGCUGUUGUGUGAGAUACACUUUGUGUCCUAGUAUGAUUUUCUAUCACCUAUUUAUCUGUUACUGAACCGUAAUGUCUCCAGCUUAUCUUCUUUAGUACUCCCUCCAUCCCACAAAGGAUGCCGUUCCUAGAUACAUCCAAAUUUAGAAAAAUCUAAGACAUCCUUUAUGGGAUGGAGGGAGCACUAAUUUUCUUUUGAUGUUUUAUCAUAGUCAUAUGUUGGAACCUGCACUUAGUCAUGUUUUUUUAAUCCAAGCUCUAGAGGUUCUGAUCUCAAACAGGGUAAACUGUGACAAAGGUUAUGUCAUGUGACUUGUACCAUCAGUUUUGCAGUUUUUUCAGAAAUAUUUCUGGAACUCUGUAUCUCGUCAGAUUCAUCAGUGUCCUCAUCCGGAAAAAUUUCCGCCUCUUCAUAAGCAUUUGAUUCCUCAAUGCCUUGUUCAGAUUCAUGCACAUCAUACUGGAAUGGAGCAAAAUAUAAUGUUAUUAACACAAGUUGCACCUCUCGGAAGUUAUACAUAUUGUCUUUUACCACAUAAAUAUAGUUCAUCAACCUGCCUUUAUGGCAACAGUGGUAAGUAUAAUUCUGGUCAAACAUACUUGAGUGCGGAGUGAAUUCAAAUACAAUGUCAUUUGUUUCUGCACCACUGUAUGUGUGUGGACAAACUUAAAAAAUAGGCAGAAGUUCUUAAUGCACAUUUUUACUAGCUGUGUCGAAAGCAAAACCAAGGACAGUUAUACCUUUGCUGAUUGAUCAGCACCAUCCAACUGAAUCACCCCAUCCCCAUCCAUGAUAUCAUCUGCCUGAAAUGAAUCAUACUUGAGAAUAUACCACAAGUUAGGACCCAAACUCUGAACCAUGGUCAUAAACUUGUGAACUGAAACAGUUACUGUUUGCAUCUGUGUAAUGCUUUACUAAAAUUUGCUUACGAAAUCACUUUGUGGUGUUGUGUAUCCAUCAGAUUCAUCGCUCAGCUCAUGUAUAGAUGCCAACAAUUCAGAGCUCCCCCCAUAUCCAAUGCUUCCAGUAUGCCUCAGAUGAUCAUUACUGCACUUAAGAUUAUCUCAUCCGUCAACUAAUCACUGGAUUUGAUCCAUAUCUUACUGGGAGUAGUUCUUAUGUAGUUAUGGACUUGAGAGAAACUGUACCUAGUGGACACAUAUUUGCCAUUGACCACCACCCAAACCUGACAGCAUUUGCGAAGGACCUCUUGCUUUGCCAUCUUCCUGCAUAACUUGGCUCAGUGUUAUAUUGUUCUAUGCGGUUGACAAGACCACCAAGAAUGUCUUCGUGUGUGAUGUAAUGCGCCCUAACCUGCAAAGGAUAACAGGAGAUCAGGAAAAGGCUAUUUAUCAUACCAGGGAAGUUUGAUUAGGCAUAUAUUACUCCUAUUCACACACAAGUUGAAAUAUAGUACACUGAACUGCACAUCGGCGACUCUUAAAACUAUACAAAAGAUGGAAGGUAUUUGGCUCAAUAAAUCUUACUGAAGGGCAUCCACUUGGAUGGCCAGUGAACAUUGACAAGAACUAUUCUGGCCCUUGGGAAUUUAACCGUAGACCACAGUAUGUUAGCCUUCUCUUUUCUGAAGUUCUUUCCUACCGCGAUGUGAACCUCCUCGUCAUCCAUCUUUGUUGCUCCUUGUAUACUGUUAAAAAUCAAGAGUAACAUCACAUCUAGAUUCUGCUUUUGCUAUCUGGUUCAGCAGAACCUGAACCACAGAAGCCUCAACUAAAAUAGAAUCUGUAAGUGGUCUCAAAGGCUUACGGAAGUACCUAAUUGUGAUGCACCACUUUUCAUCAACCUGUGGGCAUCAAUAUCAGUGUCAUCCUUGUCCCUUUUGUCCCUGCUUUUCCUUGGAAGUGUCAGUUCAUAGAAGGCCUGAAGGAGAUGGUCUGGUAGUGGUUUUAAAGAGUGGCCUUGGAUUUGGUGUUCCUCGUACUUUGGGUCCCACGUGUAGUCCAAUGAAAAAAAUGUGGUUUCAAUUUAGGAAACAUUGGUUUGCCCUUUCAAACAUUCCUGCCCUCAGUGACUGACUUUUGAUGCUUAGCAAUGAAGUCGUCCCAUUAUAUGGAGGACGUCUCCCUGGACGGCAGUGCCCAUCAAAGGGGUUGCUUUCAAGAUGUGGAAAUGUUGUCCAGGACAUAUAAUUCUGAUAUGAUUAGACAUCUGCAAUAUUGUUCUUUCUCUGAUGUUGGCUCUUACAUAAUUCAUUCUCUCAAGCUGUCAAUAUAGUAAUGUACAUCAUGACAUCUCGUAUUUUUUAUGCGUGUGUUCACUAGCAUAUACUGGCAUUAUACCUCGGAACUACAGUACUUGAAUGUUGAUUGUGCAGCUUGUAUCUAUUGGAUUCUCCAUCAGACUCAUUUGGACGGAAGUGCUGUCGAUAAGAAAUUGCACACACAUGCAGUCCGGACGUAGUGAUAUCCUGACAUAAUAGAGUAUGUCAGAGCUGAACUAGACUCCUAAAAUCAAGGUCAAGAUCUGAUAGAUCGCGACUGCAAGGAGAAUUAAGUUUAUUUCUGGUUACUAACUUCUGAAGAUACCAAUCGAUAUUUCGUUUUGCAAGUUUCUCUUCAGAUAGUACUGGAAAUUUGGUCAGUCAUUUGAUACAAGGACGUCAUACCUUUUGAAUUUGUGUUUAACGACCUGCAAUAGUAAGAAAAUCGGCAAACCUAGUAUGUCCGCAUUUUCCAGAGAAGGUUCGGUUCAACUUGGAUUUGUGUCAUUGACAAGAGGAUAAAAUAAGCUGGUCCAAUGUCACCGAGUUUUUAUUUACCUUCUGAAGAGUUCAAUUUUGAUCAUUUAUAACUUUCAGAAUAGAAAAAUGGAUGCUGCGAAUAACAGACUUUUAGAAUGGAUUUAACAUGUAAAAUGACAGUGUUAACAUAUAUGGUUGUAAAAAAUGAUAGUUCCACUCUUACAUACAUUUGCAUGCAAUCAUUCACUUCAGAGGCCAGUCAGUAAACCCCAUUAUUGAUUGUUCAAUGAAGCAGCAUGAACAUGUAAUGACGGUAUCAUCCGCAAAACAGUUUUCUACUUAUAAAUCCAUGUAUAAGGCCCAGCAUGCCAGUGAUGAAGCCCCAAGUCAUUACAUUUUACGUAAAGUUUUGCUGAAGAUACAAAAUAAAAAGCAAUGUGUUUAUCUUAAGUCACUCUUUCAGAAUAACACGGAAGUGCUUGGUUUGUUGUGGUUUGUGCCUAUUAAUCUGACCAUUCUUGGAUUGCAGAACGGAGGGCGUGGUUCGGCAAAAGAUCACGGUGGAGUAGCUCAAGGUUUGUCAUGGGUGAUGUAUGGUGGCCACUGUCGAUCCACUCCCUUAUAGCUUCGGCUUCAUAGAGCAUAUGCUGGAAUUUUUCAGGCUCGUCAAAUUCUCUAACAAUAUCCUGCAUGCAAUAAGAGAAGGCAAAGCCAGGGAGGGAAACAUGUCAAACGGGCUGGAAUUCUGCUAUGUAAUCCUAAGAAUACAAAGUGAAGAUUACUCGAAGUCGACCAACCGUACCUUCGAUAAACGAGCGUUCCUUUGCAAAUGUACCAUAUUCUGCAGAAAGGAUCCGCCUGUUGUUCUACAGCCUGUGCUUUCUUAGACUUGAGGGCCAUAAUUUUCCUGAACUCUUGAAAGAGUUAGGUUUUAUUUUUGUGUGGCAAUACUAAUGACUGCCAAGUGUUCAGAUAUAAUUAUCAUGCAUAGAUGUCACGAAAUUCGCAA